rnacentral:misc_RNA from 1 species
GCUUUGAGGAAACUGUUUCUGGUAAGCUGCUUUUGUUUUGUUUUUUGCUUGAUAAGUCUGUUUUCUUAUGUUGUGCAUUGGUGGUAUUUAGAAGAAGAUAGUUCCUAGUUUAUUUAUCAAGGUUGCUUAAUUGGCUAAUUACAAUUUACAACUUUAGUGCACUGGUACAAUUUUUAUUUUAAUUUGUUGUUUAUUUAGGGAUUUUAAAUGA